UUUCCGUAGGUGAACCUGCGGAAGGAUCAUUAUUGAUUAACGUAGGUGGGAGGGCUUUAGUUGAUCCGAACGUUGUGUGACGCGCGAGUGCCCUCCUACAUGUCCAUCUCACCCCUUUAACCUCUAUCUCAACUGUCUCCCUGUGACUUAUUCGGAGGGGGCCUUACGAUUUCACACAACCUUAAUGGACAUCUUAGCUUUUGUUUUUUGUUUUUGCGAUGACGCAAUCAAUACAACUUGCAACAACUGAACUCUUGCCUCUAGCACCGAUGAAGAACC
rnacentral:misc_RNA from 1 species